UAGGAAGUGUCUGAGGCUGAAUUUGGACUCAGAAAGAUGAUCUUCCUGAUUCCAGACCACCAUCACGGAAUGAAUUUCGGGGGUCAGCUAAUCCAUCCUCCAAGACAUUUGUUUUACAACUAUACAGAUGACAUCACAGGGAUCUCACAACUCUUCAUGAGUCCUUAGCCUGAUUUUCAUCCCAUUCCAUACAGAAGAGAUUGAACUGACAUCAAAGAGAACUGUCAGCAGCAAAGAGAUACUAGAAGAUGGGGGAGGGGUUGGGAAGGAAGAGGUUUUAAGAAGACAAUUGCGUUCAUUACACAUUUUUCAUCAUGUCAUUUCCCCAUUCUUUCAUAUUUCUCAUUUACCUACAGGAAAAAAUUGGAGCUAAUUAGUCUGGCAUUCAAUAAUUUCUACAAUCUGUCUCUUAUUACUUUUCUGACCUUCAUAGCUCACUUUCCCUUAACCUAAACCCUUUGCUCCAGCCAGGCUGAACUAUUUAUUACAUAAACAAAUCAUGAGCAUUCCCACCUUUGUGCCUUUGGUUGUGCUGUUCUCCUUUCCUGGAAUGCCUUCCUAUUUAUUUAUUCAACUCUCUCUCUCUCUCUCUCUCUCUUUUUUAAUUCCUUAACUUGUUCCACAUUGACUCAUUUUUUAAAGCCUGAUCCACUUCCUCUGAAAAACCUUUCCUGACCAUUCCAACUCUCAGUGAUUCAAUUAAACAGACAUUUACCAAGUCCUGGUUUAUAAUGAGCCAGACACUAUGUUAGGUGCUGGAGAUACAAUGGCCAAAAAAAAAAAAAAAAAAAAAA